GGUUAAACGUGUUUACUAAUAAAACUCUGCCCAUGCAAACAUCAAUUACUAUAUAUAAUAUUUGGUUUAUAUGAUUUAGGCUAUUUCUUUUUAUUUAGUCUUAACUAUAUAAUAAUAAUAUUACAUAAUAUGAUACAUUUAAUUGCUUAAUAUAUUUGGAUACUAACGCCUUUAUCUGAAUAUCAAGUUUGUGUGAUGCUAUAUUUAAAAUGGUUGAAAGCAACAUGCUUAUUAUCAUUAAUGCAAACCAUGAUCAAGAAGUAAUCCAUAAAUUAAACUACAUAUGCAGAAUCUUACUGGUGCAAUGUUUUUUCCAGGAGCUUUAAAGACGUUUUAACCUCAGACAUCAGAAGACAUUCCCCAUUUUUCUUCUCACACAUUAUUGCGCACAGAAAUCAGCGAGGAGGAGCGUCUGUCCCUCCGCUUGCGUCCAAUGGAACAAAGAGCAGCGUUAUCAAUGUGCACGCGUUCAGCCAAUAGGAGCGCUCCUCUUCUGGUGACGCGCAGCGCCGGCUCUGGUCUCUUCGCACUGCGCAGGAAGCGACACGCGCAAAAGAAUCAGAAGUUAAACGCAAAGGUACCGCGGCUCACGCAACAGCAAGCAGCAGCUUUUACUGUAACCGCUCGGAGUUUCCCCGCGAAUGCAAGAGGAACCCGACGUCUCGAGCAGAAUGAAUGGGGCCAGCGCUCAAUGUUGGGGGCCAGUAUGCAGCAUGUGAGGGGCCAACUCUUCUGCAAUGUAUGGACCACGGAGAAAGAAGUCUGGCACACAUGCAAGGAGAAGCAUGAACAACGUCUCCUUGUGUGUGUGUGUGUGUGUAAGCAGGAGUCUUCAUUCAACGUGCUGUGCAAAAUUGCAUAUCAGUUUUUGUUUUUUUCCAUACAAGGCCGGUCAGUUUACAGUGCAUGUUUUGCUUUAGUAAAGAGCUUUUUAGGAUCCAAGUAGCAUGUUUUGUUACUCUUGGUUUUCUUUAAUCUGUGGAUUAGACGGAGCGUUGGAUUCUCACCUUGUUUAAGUGCUUUGUCUGUGUAAGAUUAGGUUUAGCGCAUGUGAAAUUCCAUACAGUUAGGAAUAAUAAUGCAAGAAUGAACGUGCGAUGAGGAAAGCUGAAGGAUGGAGUUAUGGGUUGAUAAAACAACCUUUUUGCACAGUAUCCUGAACGAUGUAUUAUAAUUUUAAAAGAAUUGUAUGUUGAGGACUAUUAAAGUCAACAUAAGACUUUUUAAAACCACCUUUUAGAUUAACAAAUUUUAAAAA
ensembl:lncRNA